rnacentral:rRNA from 1 species
CCUACGGGAGGCUGCAGUGGGGAAUAUUGGACAAUGGGCGCAAGCCUGAUCCAGCCAUGCCGCGUGUGUGAAGAAGGCCUUCGGGUUGUAAAGCACUUUUGUCCGGAAAGAAAUCCUUCAACUUAAUACGUUGGGGGGAUGACGGUACCGGAAGAAUAAGCACCGGCUAACUUCGUGCCAGCAGCCGCGGUAAUACGAAGGGUGCAAGCGUUACUCGGAAUUACUGGGCGUAAAGCGUGCGUAGGCGGUUCGUUAAGUCUGACGUGAAAUCCCCGGGCUCAACCUGGGACGUGCGUUGGAAACUGGCGAUCUAGAGUACGGUAGAGGGUGGUGGAAUUCCCGGUGUAGCAGUGAAAUGCGUAGAGAUCGGGAGGAACACUCGUGGCGAAGGCGGCCACCUGGACCAGUACUGACGCUGAGGCACGAAAGCGUGGGGAGCAAACAGGAUUAGAUACCCCGGUAGUC